UGGCUGUUUUGAUUUAAAAUUUUACUUUGGCGGUUACAAAGUCGUAUCCUCACGACUUUAGAAGUUAAAAGAGCCACAAUAACCUGUGGUCGCGAGUGAUUUAGGCGUAACCACCAAUCUGCAGCUGGUCAACGCCUCCAUACAGUUUGUAAACAAUCGCAUUUUGGAUCUUUUUCUUCAAGUUACGGUUCUUUCACGGCUCUCUGAAGGCGAAUUAAUGUAUUUUAACUUAAUUAGCGUAAGCAUUUUCGACGUCAACAGCCAUAAUGGUUACUCCUGGCCUCAAAACUGAUCUCGGAGUGGCUCCUGGAGCUGUCAAUGACGAGAGCGAAAUCAAACACUACAUAUAUUUCGGCUGCAAGGUUGCCAUCAACGCAUCAUGAAUUUAUCGAAUUUAUAUCAAUUCCUGAUUGCCGUACGUUCGCUCCGAAGGCGCUCAACUCACUUUGGCUGACGGAGAGACCACAAGCCACGUCGUGGGAACUUUCUACCGCACAAUCUAGCUGGUUGCGAAUGGCAUCAAGCUUGUGUAUCUUCGUUUUUGGUGGGAAGCAUCCGGAGCUCAAGUCAGGAGAGCUGUGAAAAAGACCAGAGCGAAGGCAGGAGGCACAGAGAACCCUUGGAAAGGCUGAAGAAGCGGAUGACGCCGAGCAGGUGGACAAGUUCAACAGCGAUUAGUCAAGGCGACCAGAAGCCACCCUUAGAGGAGUGCAAGAAAAUGCUGUCACUCAUGGGGACACUCUUUGUUGAUGCAAACCUGCUGUCACUCUUGCGCUUGCGAAUUGUAAACCCUGAGUUCAUGCACAAGCAGGCCCCUUGCGAAGCGAAAGCAUUGGUAAAAUGAGGGAAGGUUUUUGCCACUGAAGACAUUGACGCUUUGAACUUUUGCAAACAUUUCGCUCGGGCACAUGACCUUGAGUGAGGCCAGGAAGAUGCCCAAUCAUGAGUUCCACCUGGACAAAGUUUGAUCUGGACUAGAGCUUAUCAAGGAACAGUUCAUCGCCCUGUGCAUUCUCCUCGAAUGCGACUCGAUUAAAGGCGUUGGAUCGAAAAGGGCCAUUGAACUGAUCAGGAGCAACGGCAGCUAGCAUUGAACAGAUUGUCAACAACCUGGACAAGCCGUACAAAGUGUCCGAGAAAAGAAAAAAAAACUACUCGAGGAAAGUUUUCGUGGAACCCGAGAUGAGAUCCAGGGAAAAUAAUUAAGCUGAAGGGGACAGACUUCAAUAUCUGUGUGUCGAAAAGAGGGAGAAGCUGAAACUGGUGCUCAUGUUCAAGAAAGAAAUGAAUGGAGCAGUGAAAUCAGGCGAGAUCAGGACUUCCUGCCUAAAGUGCAGCUUAAGGAGACGCUUAAGAGAAAGCAGGACGCUGGAGCACCUCCAGGAACCAGCUGGCUCGUCUUCAACCAAGAAGGCCUUUCACCAGGUUCUGCGAUUGUCCCUCUAAGCUCUGGGAAAGUGGAGCCUAGCUUUCCCGCAAUUUGUUCGGCUACAAAACGCAAUCCAGCAUGGUAAGCCGGGUCAGCUUCCGAGUCUGGAGGCAUCCAACAAAUUGGGACCUGUUUCACUGUAUCUUCUUCUUCGUCCCCCUCAAACGUAAUGACUAGCUCUUCAUCAUCUUCCUCGUCUUCCUCAUUUUCUUCCUCUACCACUUCACUCCAGUCGUCUUCACCUUGCUCUUCCUCAGGGCUUGCUUGGUUUUCAAUUGAUUCAAUGUUUUCUUUCCCUGCUUGUCCAUCCUUACUCAAAGCGCUUACUUCUCUCAGGCUCUGUGAGGAAGUUUAAAAUUAAGGUUAAAUGAUGGUAUUUUUCAUGGCCUACUCGAGAAAGUUUCCAGAUAAAAAUAUUUAAUUUACGGCAGUUAAAUUGAAUAGGUCUAAUUCUUUGACUCCUAAAGAGGAUUGAUGCCAUGAAAAAGCCUGGAAAAUCCUUAUUACCAAUACAUGAACUCGUCUCUUAUUUAGGAUUCAAUUAAAGCUAAAAUUGAUUUAAAUAAGAGCAGUGUAAAUUUGAGACUACUGUUGAGAUUUUUUAUGUUAAAAACUGUACGCCAUGAUUGAUUUGAUAAAUAUAAUUUUUGAAAUUUAAACUCACGAUUAAAGACAGGAAAUUAAUGCCUUCUUUUUCCAGUGCCUCCUGCAUUGCAACAUUAGAUUUUUUUGAGCCCAUGCUAAAGUUGUUGCACAGGAGCAACUUCUUAAUUCUGCUUUCAGCCUCAACUGCAUCUGGGCGUGUGUUCGGGCCAAAGUGUGUCCUGAAAAGCCCGAAGAAACGUUCCAAAACAUCUUGGCUAAUUCUGGAACAACUUGGUUUGUUCCUCCAGCUCUCUUCCAAAUGGCAGCAUCUCUGGCGGAAUUUGUUCUGUAGGCGCGUUUGAAUUUCUGGUGAGAUCUUUAGUCACGCCAUAGAGAUGCUGAUAUGUGGCUCCUGUGCGACAAACUACUGCUGUUGCCUAUAACAAAGCUAAUUUUUUAUAAAAUUCAAACGUUAUUAAUGAAACUUGCAUUGAAUAUAGCCCUGUCUCCUGGUCUUCUCUCAGCCAUAGCUUCUAAUGCAUCAGCCACUGGAUGAGAUAGGGUCUCAAACGCCAGCUGGCACCUUUGUUUCUCACACCCUUGCACAUUCAAAUGUUGCUGCUUCAAUGGAUGUCCAGCCAUCUCGAGGUGAGCUGUCUCGUCGACUAGCUCUUGUAAAGCAAAUUUUGAUGCCACACACUCUUUGCGUGUCUUUUCUAGUGCAAGCCCGCCCUCCAGCAGAUGGUUUCGAAUAAGUUUGGUGCAGUGUGGUGGGUCUGGGACGACAAAAAUUUUCCCCUCUCCACUUGGGCUUUGAAAGAAGGGCUUGUCCUCGUCCACGCUCAAAGUUUUGAGGAGACUCAUGUUUUCUCGGCCAAGGUCGCAAGCGAGAGUCAAGACUGUGAAACCUGCAUCUGCGAGCGUGGUGAUGAUUUCAAACAGUAGCUUUUUCGUCAUGGGGCAUCCUCCUUUAAAAAAAACAGUCUGUGUCCACUUUGCGAACAAGCCGCUUGCCUGCACGACUUGUAGGUUGCGGUAGGGUCCGACCAUUUGGUCCCUGCCCCUGUGGUAAUUGACCUUGUAGUCAAGAGCCACUUCAUCGAAGCAUAGGCAGCAAAUUCGCUCCUUCUCUUCCAUCGCUUUCCCUGCACACUCCAUGAGCCGAAUGAUGUCUAAGAGAAUUCCUGGCUUAAUAUCCAGCUUGGAAAGUAACUUCUGCAGAGUGGACUCGCACGCAAGCGGGAUCUUCAGGGUCCUUGCAAUUUUGUAAGCCCUUGGACUGGCGGUGUAAAGUGACAGGUGCUCCGUCAGGCUUUUGUCCGUCCACUUCGUGUUCCUGUUGUACAGUAUUCUGUCAAUUUGUGGCGUUGAAAAUUGUUUAUUCAACAUCUCCAUAAUUUUAUGGCGAUUUUGCUGCUCAGUCUUCAAUUUGUUGUUUGCAGUCACUGCAUUUGCUUCUGUAUUUUUUAUUUUUUUGGUUAAGUUGACGACCUCUUUUUUCAACGCCUCCUUCUCCUUGUCAGCUUUAUUCAAGGCCUCACUGACAUCACUCAAGAACCUCCUAAAAUAUUUUGACUCUCUGUUAUUCAUCUUAUAUUAUUGGUAAACGCAUUCGUGGGCAUAUUUCCAUUUUUUAAUUUAUUGUUCUUUUCCUUUUAAUGGAGUUCCUUUUCAGGAUUUGAAUUUAGUUUAAAAUUGAAUAUGCAAUCUUUGUUAAUUUCAUUUUUGAUUUUUUAACUUUUAAUUCAGUUUUGAAAUUACCUGCUCACUACCUCGCAAGGAUAUUUUUCAUGCCAGUUGGGGCCUUUGGCAGCGUGAUCAGGGAUUUCCAGCUGAUACAGGCGUUCAAUUAGCCUGUUAAACAUUAAUUACCGCCCAUUAAAAUAUCUUUCAAUUAUCAUUUUAACUAAUAUUGACUUUUCAUAGCUCGCUGAAGUUUGGAACCCAACAGAGGUGAUCAGAUUAAAGAUAGACGACGACGACGACGCCGAGCUGUUGAGAUGCUCAUCUGUUGAUUCUGACUGACGACCAUCAAUUGAUGUCUCUAGUGAGAUAUUUUCUUGGGUAUCAAGUUGUUUGCUGAGCUACUUAAGCUACUUUCGUCUAGACCUGCCUCAACGAAUAAGCCAUGCUCAUGGUCAUUGUCAUCACUACCAGGCAAAUCAGUUCUCUUCCCUUUCCUGCUAAAUAGUCAUACUAUUGAAAUGUACAACAAUGGACGUUGGAUUGAGAACCGUUGCUGGCUUGUCCCGGCAAGCAUUGGUCUGGCACGGCUGCGGGCAGAAGAAUCUUGCCAUUGUUGAGAGCUUCACCCGUCUUCAAGAGCCGCUCUAAUUUUGCAGUGUAUAGCUGUGCUGGACUAAAAUGCCGAGAACAGACCCUUGUGGUAUUCCAAUUUGUGGUCGUGACAUCGAUUUUCAAGCUUUUGCUCCAUGGUUCUCUCAAUUUGCUAGGUACUCGAAACAGGCGAACGCCAACCACUGGAUGAACCUAUAUGAUGUGUUAUUUUAAUUCCAAUCUGUAGUUAACAGUUCAUUUAAUGCUAAAAGUGUACAAAAGAUGACAAAUUUUCCAAAUUUUGGAAGCUUCUCAUUGUUCACUGCUUUUUUACGCCUCUUGAGAAAAUUCAGUUUAAUUCAAUCCUUUGCAAAAAUGAACUUAAAACAUUUAUAUCUCAAUAAUUUAUAUUUUCACCUUCAAAUUUUUAUUGAUAGUUUAUAUUCUCAAUAAUUCAUUUUAUUAGCUUAUUAUGCUUAUUUAUUUGUACUAUCUAUCUAGCGUGUGGUGGAAUUAUUUUUGUUUUAAAAAAUGUGAAUUCAAAAUUGGAUGAAUUUAAUUAUUAAUUUAACCAUGCUGUCAACUAUGUAUUAUCUGUUUCAAUUUACCAAUUCAAACUGUGUCCUGCUGUACGUAGUCCUGUUUCUAGUACGGCAACCAUUCACUGCACACUGCAUAGCUUUAUAGGGAUUCCUUAAUGAAAUAUCAUUAGUGUCUUAAAAAUUAAUUUUUAUUUUCAGUACAUUGCCUAUUUGCUACAAUUUGUUAAAGGUACAAACACAUAUUUCAUAUUUCUAAAUCAGUACAAUUUUAGUGACACAAAUAAAGUUUUUCUGCACUUACUUA